CUGGCUCAGGACGAACGCUGGCGGCACGCUUAACACAUGCAAGUCGAACGGAGUUAAUUUUGGUUU
rnacentral:rRNA from 1 species